rnacentral:rRNA from 1 species
ACGGAAGGCAGCAGUGGGGAAUAUUGCACAAUGGGCGCAAGCCUGAUGCAGCGAUGCCGCGUGAGGGAAGAAGGUUUUCGGAUUGUAAACCUCUGUCAACAGGGACGAAAAUGACGGUACCUGUGAAGGAAGCUCCGGCUAACUACGUGCCAGCAGCCGCGGUAGUACGUAGGGAGCAAGCGUUAUCCGGAAUUACUGGGUGUAAAGGGAGUGUAGGCGGGACUGUAAGUCAGAUGUGAAAUAUGCCGGCUCAACUGGCAGACUGCAUUUGAAACUGCGGUUCUUGAGUGAAGUAGAGGUAAGCGGAAUUCCUAGUGUAGCGGUGAAAUGCGUAGAUAUUAGGAGGAACAUCAGUGGCGAAGGCGGCUUACUGGGCUUUAACUGACGCUGAGGCUCGAAAGCGUGG